rnacentral:rRNA from 1 species
GAUCCUGGCUCAGGAUGAACGCUGGCGGCGUGCUUAACACAUGCAAGUCGAGCGAAGCAGUUAAGUUGAUUUCCUCGGAUUGAUUCUUAACUGACUGAGCGGCGGACGGGUGAGUAACGCGUGGGUGACCUGCCCCAUACCGGGGGAGUAACAGCUGGAAACGGCUGCUAAUACCGCAUAAGCGCACAGAGCUGCAUGGCUCGGUGUGAAAAACUCCGGUGGUAUGGGAUGGGCCCGCG